GACGAACGCUGGCGGCGUGCUUAACACAUGCAAGUCGAACGGAAAGGCCCCUUUGGGGGUACUCGAGUGGCGAACGGGUGAGUAACACGUGAGUAACCUGCCCUUGACUUCGGGAUAACUUCAGGAAACUGGGGCUAAUACCGGAUAGGAAUCCUUGCUGCAUGGUGGGGGUUGGAAAGCUUCGGCGGCUUUGGAUGGACUCGCGGCUGAUCAGCUUGUUGGUGGGGUAGUGGCUUACCAAGGCUUUGACGGGUAGCCGGCCUGAGAGGGCGACCGGCCACAUUGGGACUGAGAUACGGCCCAGACUCCUACGGGAGGCAGCAGUGGGGAAUAUUGCACAAUGGGCGGAAGCCUGAUGCAGCAACGCCGCGUGCGGGAUGACGGGCUUCGGGUUGUAAACCGCUUUCAGCAGGGGCGAAGCUUGUGGUGACGGUACCUGCAGAAGAAGCACCGGCUAACUACGUG
rnacentral:rRNA from 1 species